rnacentral:rRNA from 1 species
GACGAACGCUGGCGGCGUGCUUAACACAUGCAAGUUGAACGGAAAGGCCCUGCUUUUGUGGGGUGCUCGAGUGGCGAACGGGUGAGUAACACGUGAGUAACCUGCCCUUGACUUUGGGAUAACUUCAGGAAACUGGGGCUAAUACCGGAUAGGAGCUCCUGCUGCAUGGUGGGGGUUGGAAAGUUUCGGCGGUUGGGGAUGGACUCGCGGCUUAUCAGCUUGUUGGUGGGGUAGUGGCUUACCAAGGCUUUGACGGGUAGCCGGCCUGAGAGGGUGACCGGCCACAUUGGGACUGCGAUACGGCCCAGACUCCUACGGGAGGCAGCAGUGGGGAAUAUUGCACAAUGGGCGGAAGCCUGAUGCAGCAACGCCGCGUGCGGGAUGACGGCCUUCGGGUUGUAAACCGCUUUCGCCUGUGACGAAGCGUGAGUGACGGUAAUGGGUAAAGAAGCACCGGCUAACUACGUG